GGACAGUCAUGCUACUGCUCUGCUACUAUGGUCACACUCUGGGUGUGUAGGAAGAGGUCUACAGAAGUAUUUUUCCAGGUUCCUGUUCAACAUCCUAUGCUUGAUUCCAAACACUCAGCUCUGCACCCAAUUUUCUGAUUCAGUGCCAUGUGAACCAUAUUGCCACAUACUUCUGCCAGGUGUGAUAGAGCCUCACCAUGAUGGUUUGUGU